UAUAAUGUGAUGAAAUCAAAAACACGCUUUAAUAUCCCUGGCAACAUGGUGCGUGUGCGCUUGGGAGUAUAAUGCGACGAAAUCAAAAACAUGCUUUAAUAUUCCCGGCAACAUACAAAACACAACUCACGCAAUUUGGUCGGGUAUUGUUUGUUUGUAAGUAAGUUUCCAAUAGAUGGCGCAAGUAAUUAAAUUUGAAAAAGGAAAUACUUUAUUAUUCAAGUACAUAAUUUGUACGUCAUAUCAAUUUGAUGAUAUAAACACAUUUAUACAAUGAGAACAAUUUAAUUAUCAAUUUAAUAGCUUCAAAUCACAAGUUAUUCUAGACUGAAUCGGAACGCUGCUUAAGUGAUUUGUCUAUGGCAACUCUCGCGACUGUCAAGCUGUCAACCUGCUGUUGUAUUUUUUUCUUCUUGUUCAGUAACGACAUUAUUUUCUUCAUAAUUUAUUGUUUGUGAUGUUAUAUAUUAUUCAAAGUUACCUCAGUUACCGGUGUAAUACUAUUCAAAUACCAAUACAUCCAGGAAACGUUGAGAACCAAGCUCUGUUUACGAUGUGACGUUGUUUCGUGGAUGAUUGCGACAACAAAAUUACCCAGACGGACCAAAUUUGAAAUAUAAAGCAAAGAUUGCCUCUGAGAGCGCUCUUAUGGGUUUAAUAAUAUUGCAACAUUGCAGAUUCUGUAGAAAACAAAUGAUGUGGGAAUUCAGAAACAUUACAUGGCCAAUGCUCCCCCUAGAAACUUGUACUUUUUUCGUCAAAUGAUGGGUGAACCUAGUGCUUUUAACUACGAUCCAGUGUACAAACUGUCUAGUACAAGGAUGUGUAAAAGAGUCUAGCUGUCGAUAAUGUGCAUGAAAUGACUUAAAUGUGGAAGCUUCCUCAAAACAAGCAAACUGUCAAUUCUAAGAGCUGUAUGCACAAAUCAUCACUGAAAAGAAACUGAAAUUACGCUUCGGAGACUCCUUUGCUAUUUUUGAUGAAACCAAACAACUGUAAAACCAAACAAAAAUGGUUGCCGCCAGUGGAACUUGAAGCAGAGUGGUGCAAAUUCCCAAUGUUUAUUACCUUCAUGGACUCUUUCAAGUCUUUUAACAAUCUCCAAGCAAUGUUCCGAGAACUGGCAUAGCUCUGCAGUAACAAUUUUCCUGCCUACAAACUUCAUCUACAGACUGUCUCCAGUGACAUGACAGACGACCAUGGGUCCUACUACUACAGGUACUUUGAAGACUCCUGCUUGAUGGCGGUAUUUCAAGAAUUUUGCUGAAACAAUGGCUGCUCGACAGACAGAAAAAAUGAUCCCUGCGUUAUUCUUAUCUAUGUAUACAAUAAGAUACGCUAGCAGUCAGAAAAUGAAGAAUGGUUCUAAAAGUCCCUGACCAUGACUGAAUGUUGAAAGAAAGUAAAAGAAAGGCGCCUUCAAGACAGCAGUAUCUCUAAGGACACUACCCUUAACCAAGACUGAAAACUGAAGAAAUGUAUUUAAGGCCUUAAUUAUUAAAUAAUGAAGUAAUUUUUUGUCUUUUUAGUUAAAAGCAAGGCUAAUAUUUUUCUUAAGAGUCCAAAACAUAGCGUACCCACUCCGCUCUCACUUGCAACAAAAUGCCUUUAUGGCUAAAAGGCUAUUUUCUAUUAUUUAUUUUUAAAACCUCGGUAUCCAAAAUGAAUCUAAAAGGAACCAAAACGUAGCCUAAAAGGCUACUUUUACAUAGAUAUUAAAAUACCGUAGUAACCCAGGUAAACUACAUCCUGUGUCACGUUUCACCAAAAUGUCACUCUCCACCCUUCCUUAACCUAUAUAAAUAAAUAUAUAAAUACAUAAUUCCCUAAUUACACUAAUAUUUGGCCACGUGAUCGUCUAGUCUAGUAGUUAGGACCCCUCUGAAGUGAACCGAGAUACCCUAGAUUCUUUAAUGAGUAACAGCUAUAUUUUGGACUCCAAUAUUAUUUUACUUUACCUAGAUUGUAAGAAGAUAAUUAUGGUACUGAAGAU